AAGCAGUAUUUUCUGACUGAUCCCAUUUCUUUGUCUUCUUCUUCUUCUAUUUUUUUCCUGGAAGCAACUUCACACUUGUUGAUUACCAAGCUCAGCUCUUAACAAUUGUUUUCCUUCUUAUUUUAUUCCCACACUGGACCAUCGGUGUGAAUUAACCAUCAAGUAGGAAUGGUUAGUGGAAAGGCUUCUGUCAUUACAGCUUCAUAACCCUUCUCUCCUUCGUAAAAGGCAUGGGGGUGGGGAGGCUGCAGAGCCAUUGAGCCCUUGGGGAAGCCAGUAGGCAUAGAUGUCAUGUCAAAAGCUGAGCUGAUGCAUAUUUGCUCAGAGGACAUUG
rnacentral:lncRNA from 1 species